UUCCUUUGAAAACAUGCAAACAGAUUUCUUUGAGAUAGAUUUUACGCGAAGUACUUAUCAAUGAACAUUAGAAAGAGAAGCAUGACUUUUUGGGAGCAACUGCAAUCAUUGCAAGGCGAUGGUCAAGCGAAGAUUGGCGAGCUUUUGGGCAAAUAUUCGUUAGAGCUUGAAGUACAAUCUCAUUUGGCCGCUUGGCUUGAAAAUCAACCUUGGAGUGAUGCUGUUGAUAGCAAUGUACCUGAACAAGAACAAAAAGCAAAGGAGCUCUUACAAAAUCUUGUUGAGGCUCUUAGACAUAAAUCCAAACAGGUGGAAAAUGUUGGCAGACCAUUGGAAGCCAUGAUAUUGGUGAAUAAACUUAAAGAAACUGCAAACAAUGUUGAGAUGAAAUAUAGAAAUAAUGUGACUAGUCUUGCUAUCACAAUACAGCAACUUCUUUUUGAAGAAUCACAGUUAUUAAUGGCUCAGGAACAAUUAGUCAAUGGGAUGGAUGGAACGGAGGAGGCUCGACAAUCUGAGUUUAUUGCAAAUGUACUUUCACAAAAUUCUCAGGAAAUGGAGAAUGCUGUAAAGAGUUUGGAACAAGAGAAAGAAAGUUAUGUCAUUCAGUUUGAGGAAAGAAGAAAUAAAUUGUUGUCUUGGAAGGAAAGUAUAGAGAGCUUCAAAAUAGCUCUUUAGCUGAUUCAACCAAGGAAGAAAGUCUUCAGCGUUGUCGAGGGGAUAUGGAGAAACUUUGGGCCGCCAUCAAGCGAAGAACUACUUUCUUGUCGAAAUGAAGCUAUUGAGAAGCUGAAAGUUCAACUGGAACACUUUCAAGAGUAUCAGAAAAGUAUAUUAACUGAGAUUUGCAAUUGGAAAUAUCAGCAAAAAUUGGCUCAUUGUGGUUAUCCUGAACCUGGAACUUUGGACGAAGUAAAGAAACAGAAAGAAAUCAUCAGAGAACUUUAAAAUUGCCAUGGAUAUCACCAUAGUAAACAACAUGCAUUUUUUUGACAGUUGUGAAGCUCUGGCCAAGCUUGAAUGGCGUGGCUACACACAUACAUCACAGGUUGAGAAUCUUUUUCUACAAGUGUUGCAAAACAAUCCAAUGGAACUCAAUAGAAUGACAGAACUAAAGAACGCGUAUAAAAAUCUUCUUACUCAGCUUAUUCAGGGGGGGAAUUUCAACAUCAAUUAAAAACACGAAAGACAUACCUCGAAGAACAUCAGCUUUUCGUUUCAGAAUGUCAGUAGAAAGGCUGGUCAGCACACCUGUCGGAAAUUUUGUAAAUAAAUUAUGAUUGUUAUUUGAGAUUAGGAACUUAUCGUUAAAGCGGAAAAAGGAACUUAUGAUUAUUGAGUAUUUUAGAAGGGUCCAAUUAAGACGGUAUUGUCUUUUGUUCAUGCCUGUGAACGAGUAAGGAGCAUGAAUUGGAAUUAAUGUAUAACUUUGACUUGAAAAUUAAAUUGAUGACAUUUUGAGAA